CUUCGGGAAAUGGAUAGCGCGGACGGGUGAGUAACACGUGGGUAACCUGCCUCAUAGAGGGGAAUAGCCUUCCGAAAGGAAGAUUAAUACCGCAUAUACUCUCGAUACCACAUGGUAUUUAGAGGAAAGGAGCAAUCCGCUAUGAGAUGGACCCGCGGCGCAUUAGCUAGUUGGUGAGGUAACGGCUCACCAAGGCGACGAUGCGUAGCCGACCUGAGAGGGUGAUCGGCCACAUUGGAACUGAGACACGGUCCAGACUCCUACGGGAGGCAGCAGUGGGGAAUAUUGCACAAUGGGCGAAAGCCUGAUGCAGCAACGCCGCGUGAGUGAUGACGGCCUUCGGGUUGUAAAGCUCUGUCUUUUGGGACGAUAAUGACGGUACCAAAGGAGGAAGCCACGGCUAACUACGUGCCAGCAGCCGCGGUAAUACGUAGGUGGCAAGCGUUGUCCGGAUUUACUGGGCGUAAAGGAUGCGUAGGUGGAUAUUUAAGUGGGAUGUGUAAUACCCGAGCUCAACUUGGGUGCUGCAUUCCAAACUGGAUAUCUAGAGUGCAGGAGAGGUAAGUGGAAUUCCUAGUGUAGCGGUGAAAUGCGUAGAGAUUAGGAAGAACACCAGUGGCGAAGGCGGCUUACUGGACUGUAACUGACACUGAGGCAUGAAAGCGUGGGGAGCAAACAGGAUUAGAUACCCUGGUAGUCCACGCCGUAAACGAUGGGUACUAGGUGUAGGAGGGUCCACCUUCUGUGCCGCCGUUAACACAAUAAGUACCCCGCCUGGGGAGUACGGUCGCAAGAUUAAA
rnacentral:rRNA from 1 species